AAGAUAAUAUCUGUGGUCAUAAUGCUAAGUGCCAUAACACCCCUGGUUCCAGUUACUGCACUUGUAAUUUGGGUUUUAGGCCAAGCAAUGGACAGAAGCAGUUUGAUGUAUUUGAAAGUGUUACAUGUGAAGACAUCAAUGAGUGUAAGAACCAAAGCCUCUGUGGAAACAAUUCUGAGUGUAAUAACACCCCUGGUUCUUAUUUCUGCAUGUGCACUUCUGGUUUUGUGCCCAGCAACAAAGAGGACAUUUUAAAUGCAAGACAAGGAGUUACAUGCACAGUGACUUUUUGUGCACUCACGAGUCCAGCUAACUCAGCCACCCUCUGUUAUUUGGCCUACACUGAUCUUGCACUGUUCUGGAUUGUGCUUGUAGUGAUGCCACUCCUGCUGCCAGAGUAAACCAAUGAGCCAUUAAUCACCAGAAUUACAGUCCAGUGUCAGGAGACAAGAGGCAGGAGAUCAGCAGUAAAUUAUGGCAAGACAAAACAUUUUUUUUUUGGCAAACU